CAACCCCGUUCUCGCAAAG
rnacentral:siRNA from 1 species